AGUGAACGCUGGCGGCGUGCCUAACACAUGCAAGUCGAACGAUGACGGAGGAGCUUGCUCUUCCUGAUUAGUGGCGCACGGGUGAGUAAUGCAUAGAUAAUGUGCCCCUUAGUUCGGGAUAGCCACUGGAAACGGUGAUUAAUACCGGAUACUCCUUCUUGUCACAAGGCAAGUCGGGAAAGUUUUUCGCUAAGGGAUCAGUCUAUGUUCCAUCAGGUAGUUGGUGAGGUAAUGGCUCACCAAGCCUAUGACGGAUAUCUGGUUUGAGAGGAUGAUCCGAGACACACGUAGGAACUGAGACGACGGUCCAGACCUCCGUACGGGUGGCACG
rnacentral:rRNA from 1 species